CUCUCUCUCUCUCUCUCUCUCUCUCUCUAGUGUGACCCGCUACAUCAGCAGGAGAGAGUGGCAACAUGGCGUGCAAAGGGUAACACAACAACAAGCACCACAAGAUGGCCAACACACACAAGACACGCACACAACACACACAAAGCCACUCUGUCAAAACAAACAAAUCAUUCAAAACUUUUAUCGCUGAAAAAAAAGAAAAACAAAAAUAAAUCCCUGAAAUGUGCAGCAGGGGUAGCAAAAUGGCGGAGGAGCAAACCAGUGUGGCAAACCAAUAUGGCGUCUGCCUUUUCAGCAAACGUACAAAAAUUCAGUAUUCACCAUUACAACCAAUUGAAAGAGCCAAGAAGCGAGCCAAACAAGUAAACACCCCUACAAACAUGGAGCCUCCCAACAAACACCCAACAAACACCCAACAAACACCCUCAAAUAAGCCAAAGGAUUACCAACAUGGCGGACAAGUGGUGGCGUCAGUACUCGCCCCUGCUUCUCAUCAUCGACUUGGAAUCUAUGCCACUGACAAACCGUCCACUAUUUUCAAAGUCUUCUUGAGCGUCCACUCUCAAUAUGUGAGGCUCCCUGGAGGUGAGUCUGGCCAGAACACCCUCACCUGAGAGAGAGAGAGAGAGAGAGAGAGAGAGAGAGAGAGAGAGAGAGAGAGAGUUGGGGUUCGUGAGUGUGAGUGAGAGGGGAGGGAACUUGUGGGUCUGGUGAGCGCUGGCAACUCCCUGGGUGAGGAUGGACUGGUGGUGGUGGUGGUGGUAGUAGCGGUUGGAAGGCGAGCGUGCGAGCAGGCGCGGUGUUGUGUGUUCCUCAGUGCAGGUGGUGCAUCACAGCGUCACAGACUCACCUAGGUAGCCUAGCUGAGGCAUCGACGCGUGGACGGCGCUGAUGGCGGCCAGAACCUCUUGGGCGUCUUGGUCACACACGGCCAGGCGGAGCCACCCCAGACUCCGGUACUCCUGCAGCAGCUGUGUGCCGGCACCACUUAGGUGACCCGUGAACCACUCAAGAAGCAGUUGGCCAAAAUAAUAAUUGCAGAAGUUAAGACUAAGCUUUGAAGAAAGAACAUGUCGUAAAGUAUUACUGGAGGCACGAAAAUGUCAAAGAAGUGCAAAGACAAUUCAGAAGACACUUUGACAGGGAUCCACCAAGAAACAGUUGGCCAAAAUAAUAAUGUCAGAAGUAAGAGUAAGCUCUGAAGGAAGAACAUCUGUCAUAAAGUGUUACUGGAGGCACGAAAAUGUCAAAGAAGUGCAAAGACAAUUCAGAAGACACUUUGACAGGGAUCCACCAAGAUUUGCAUCAACCAGCAGCAGCAGCAGCAGCAGCAUGUCAGUAGUAGCAGGAGUAGUGAAUGGUCACUCGUAUGUGGUGACUACUUGUACUAUCAGGCCGCCCUUGUAGUGUGCUGGACUAUUGGUCAACAAGGAGCCCUGAAAGUUACGUGGUACAACUAUUUCGGCGAUAGUAAUGGCUGUUAAGAACGUGGCGAGGCGAAGGUUUACCCCGGCGGCCAUCUUUGUUUUGGGAAUGGUCUUGUUCUAUUGGAUGAGCAGAACUUUGAGAUUUGCAUCAACCAUCACCAGCAGCAGUAGCAGCAGCAGCAUGGCAGUAGUAGCAGGAGUAGUGAAUGGUCACACGUAUGUGGUGACUACUUGGACUAUCAGGCCGCCCUUGUAGUGUGCUGGACUAUUGGUCAACAAUGAGCCGAGAAAGUUACUUAGUACAACAAUUUCGGCGAUAGUAGUGGCUGAGUUGCCGAUCCAAAGGCCUGGCUUAAGAGUGAUCCCGAGCUAUCUGUACCAUCAAGAUCAAGAUCGAGCGUCCAUAUCAGAUGGCGAGUCUGCUUACAAAAUUGCAUCGGAGGGACUGAUAGAGGCAGCCACAAUUAUCCAUCAUCAUCGGCGACACCAUGGCUCUUGAGAAGACAGACAGACCUCGAUGACAGCGUGGUGAGCGAGGAGGGGGAGUCAACCAGCAGAGUAGGGGAGCAUGACCCCUACUUUGAACCAGUGGUGACCUUGCUGGAGGUCUUCGUGGUUAGUGAUGAUGACCAGGAGGAGGAAAUGAUAACACUGAGUUUCGAGGCAGUACAAGCUGUUUCAUUAUCACACCUCUGAGUCGCCCCCACAGUGGAAGGAACGGGGCAUGGGGGCCAUUAACAUUCUGAGGAACAAGCAGAAGAAGGCUGUGGAGUUUGUUCAGUGGCAGAAUUAAUGCCAGUGGCUGAGUUCAGAUCCUCCAAGACACACACACACACACACAGCAGCCCCUCCACCUCCCCACAGCCCUCCACAGUCUCUGACACAGCCCCUGACACAGCAUCUGACACAGGCCCUUCACAGACCACCACAUACCUCACACAUACAUAAGAACAUAAGAAAUAAGGGAAGCUGCAAGAAGCGACCAGGCUUACACGUGGCAGUCCCUGUAUGAAAUAUACCUACUUAUUUCCAUCUGCUAUCCCCAUCCAUAAACUUGUCUAAUCUUCUCUUAAAGCUCUCUAGUGUCCUAGCACUAACUACAUGAUUACUGAGUCCAUUCCACUCAUCUAUCACUCUUUUUGAGAACCAAUUUUUUUCUUAUCUCCUUCCUAAACCUAAAUUUUUUAAGCUUGUACCCAUUAUUUCUUUUUCUACCCUGGUUGCUGAUCCUAAGAAUUUUGCCUACAUCCCCCUUAUGUCACUCAAAGACUUCUAUCAGGUCCCCUCUUAACCUACGUAUCUCUAAAGAAUGUAAAUUUAACAGCUUCAACCUCGCCUCGUAAGGAAUACUCCUCAUCCCCUGUAUCCUUUUAGUCAUUCUCCUCUGUACUGAUUCUAAUAGACCUAUAUCUUUCCUGUAAUGUGGGGACCAGAACUGCACAGCGUAGUCUAGAUGAGGUCUGACCAGCGCCAAGUAUAACUUUAAUAUUACUUCCGGCCUUCUACUUUUAACACUCCUAAAAAUCACACGCACCACAGGAGCCUCACAAACAGUCUGACAGCCUUCACAAGCAGCCCCACACUCCACCACAGACACACCAGACCCACAGCCCUUCACCUCACCCACUUCCCAGCCCCCCACAGCCCCCCAGCCACCACAAAUGAAGUCAAAGGAAGGGACUGUGGCUUCACCCAGCCAGCCAGGACAGCCUACAAAGAGGGGGUAGUCCCAGUCAAGUCACAAAAUAUAGGCUUGGUUCUUCCUACAGUUUGAAGUCAAUGAUUGGACAGGUGGAAAGGCCAGACAGCUUAGUGGCAGAGCUGCAGGUGGCCCUCGUCAGCUUCCUGGUGGCACAGGUGUAGGAUGGCUGGGAGCAGUGGAGGUGCCUGAUGGGGCAGCUGUGCCGGGCAGAGGGGCUGCUACUGCUGCUGGGGAGAGCCACACUUGUAUGGUGGUAACACGGAGAGGAAGUGGAAGAAACCUUGGGACGCUCCCAUAACUCAGGAGCAAGAAUUACACCUUACUGGAACCUUGUGACUGACAGGUGGUGGUGACUGCAGGAACCAAUUCAGGUGAACAUUGUGUUUUGUUGCUACACUUGAGAAUCCUCUAUCCUAAAUACAAAAUUGGCAAACUUUUUUUUAUUUUCUGGCCAAUCCUGUUUACCUUGAGGGCAUGACCUGUACUCUGCCAGAAACUUUAUUCCCUGGCCAAUUAUUAUUAUUAUUUUUUUUUUAUAUUACCUUGAGGGCAUGACCUGUACUCUCAGAAAGAUUGCCUGAAACUUUAUUUCCUGGCCAAUUAUUAUUAUUUUUUUUAUAUUACCUUGAGGGCAUGACCUGUACUCUCUGAAAGGUUGGCAAACAAAGAUACUAUUGACAUGUCAUUAUGUUCAAGAUUGUACACAAGAUGGAAUACUGAAUGUUUAUUGUUUUACUGUGAAUGUUAAGUGAAUAAUAAAUACACAACAGGAUAAUAAACAUG